GAAAUGCGAUAAGUAGUGUGAAUUGCAGAAUUCAGUGAAUCAUCGAAUCUUUGAACGCACAUUGCGCCUCCUGGUAUUCCGGGAGGCAUGCCUGUCCGAGCGUCAUUAAACAAAUUCAAGCUUCUUUAAUCUUUUUGCUUGGUCUUGAGGGAUGAGCAAGACAAAAUUGAACUUUUUUUAAAUUUUUGUUCUAUUUUGCUCACCCAUCGAAUUUCAGUGGCGGAUUUAACCAUAGUUGGCCCGGUGUGAUACGUUUUUCAUGUCACUGGUCCAGCUUGUGGCAACCUCCUGUCAAUAGAAACUCCCCUUGAAUAUUAUUAUUAAACGACCUCGGAUCAGGUAGGGAUACCCGCUGAACUUAA
rnacentral:misc_RNA from 1 species